AAAGAAACCAACAGGGAUUGCCCCAGUAACGGCGAGUGAAGCGGCAACAGCUCAAAUUUGAAAUCUGGCCCUAGGCCCGAGUUGUAAUUUGCAGAGGAUGCUUUGGGCGCGGUGCCUUCCGAGUUCCCUGGAACGGGACGCCAUAGAGGGUGAGAGCCCCGUCUGGUCGGACACCAAGCCUAUGUAAAGCUCCUUCGACGAGUCGAGUAGUUUGGGAAUGCUGCUCAAAAUGGGAGGUAUAUGUCUUCUAAAGCUAAAUACCGGCCAGAGACCGAUAGCGCACAAGUAGAGUGAUCGAAAGAUGAAAAGCACUUUGAAAAGAGAGUUAAACAGCACGUGAAAUUGUUGAAAGGGAAGCGUUCAUGACCAGACUUGGCCCGGUUGAUCAUCCAGCGUUCUCGCUGGUGCACUCUGCCGGUCCAGGCCAGCAUCAGUUCGCCGCGGGGGAUAAAGGUUUCGGGAAUGUGGCUCCCUCGGGAGUGUUAUAGCCCGUUGCGUAAUACCCUGCGGUGGACUGAGGUCCGCGCUCUGCAAGGAUGCUGGCGUAAUGGUCAUCAACGACCCGUCUUGAAACACGGACCAAGGAGUCGUCUUCGUAUGCGAGUGUUCGGGUGUAAAACCCCUACGCGUAAUGAAAGUGAACGGAGGUGGGAGCUUCGGCGCACCAUCGACCGAUCCUGAUGUUCUCGGAUGGAUUUGAGUAAGAGCAUACGGGGCCGGACCCGAAAGAAGGUGAACUAUGCCUGUAUAGGGUGAAGCCAGAGGAAACUCUGGUGGAGGCUCGCAGCGGUUCUGACGUGCAAAUCGAUCGUCAAAUAUGGGCAUGGGGGCGAAAGACUAAUCGAACCUUCUAGUAGCUGGUUUCCGCCGAAGUUUCCCUCAGGAUAGCAGUGUUGAACUCAGUUUUAUGAGGUAAAGCGAAUGAUUAGGGACCCGAAAGGGCGCUAUUUUGCCUUCAUCCAUUCUCAAACUUUAAAUAUGUAAGAAGCCCUUGUUGCUUAAUUGAACGUGGGCAUUCGAAUGUAUCAAC
rnacentral:rRNA from 2 species